AGAGUAGGUCGGGUGGUCGCCCUUAUGUCAACUUUGUUGACGCAAGGGAGGAAAGUCCGAGCUCCGGAGAGCAGCGUAGCGGCUAACAGCCGUCCAUCGAAAGGUGAGGACUUCCCCCGUGGCGCUUUAGCGCCACUCGGGACGAUUGCCAACGAAAAUGCGGCAAUCGAGAGCCACAGAGACGAGUCUCUCCGCCUAUGGCGGAGAGGGUGAAACGCGGCAAUCUCUACGCGGAGCAAGGCCGAAUAAAUCCCGAUCAAGGAGUUGCUCAUUCCUACUGAGAGUUAUCAGUAUCGGGAAGGGUAGGCUGCACGAGGCUGGCAGUAAUGGCAGCCCUAGAUAGAUGGCCAUCGGCGGGCGUAACGCCCGCGCACAGAACUCGGCUUACAGGCCUACUCUGCUA
rnacentral:RNase_P_RNA from 1 species